AUCCUACGGGAGGCAGCAGUGAGGAAUAUUGGUCAACGGACGGAAGUCUGAACCAGCCAUGCCGCGUGCAGGAUGACGGCUCUAUGAGUUGUAAACUGCUUUUGUAUUAGGGUAAACACCCCUACGUGUAGGGGCUUGGAAGUAUAAUACGAAUAAGGAUCGGCUAACUCCGUGCCAGCAGCCGCGGUAAUACGGAGGAUGCGAGCGUUAUCCGGAUUUAUUGGGUUUAAAGGGUGCGUAGGCGGUCUGUUAAGUCAGCGGUAAAAUUGCGGGGCUCAACCCCGUCGAGCCGUUGAAACUGGCAG
rnacentral:rRNA from 1 species